GUGGACGCAUCACUGGUGUUCGGGUUGUCAUGCCAAUGGCACUGCCCGGUAGCUAAAUGCGGAAGAGAUAAGUGCUGAAAGCAUCUAAGCACGAAACUUGCCCCGAGAUGAGUUCUCCCUGACUCCUUGAGAGUCCUGAAGGAACGUUGAAGACGACGACGUUGAUAGGCCGGGUGUGUAAGCGCAGCGAUGCGUUGAGCUAACCGGUACUAAUGAACCGUGAGGCUUAACCUUACAACGCCGAAGGUGUUU
rnacentral:rRNA from 1 species